UACAGAGGGUGCAAGCGUUGUUCGGAAUUAUUGGGCGUAAAGGGCGCGUAGGCGGCCAUGCGAGUCUUCCGUGAAAUCCCUCGGCUUAACUGAGGACGUGCGGAAGAAACUGCAAGGCUUGAGUCCGGGAGAGGGGGGUGGAAUUCCCAGUGUAGCGGUGAAAUGCGUAGAUAUCUGGAGGAACACCGGUGGCGAAGGCGGCAUCCUGGACCAAUAUUGACGCUGAGGAGCGAAAGCCAGGGGAGCAAACGGG
rnacentral:rRNA from 1 species